AAGCCACAUACUUUGUUUGAAUCAUGGCUGAAUUAAGGAGAAAUUUGUACCAAGAAUUGAGCAUAAACAGUACUAUAAUGCCUUUAAGCAAGUAUAUUUGUUUAAGUAUAUUUGAUCACAGGAAACACUAGCAGCCAUAUAUAGAGUUACAGCAGCCAUAGUAUAUGAUGAUUUAUUGACCUAAAAAUGCUUGUUUGAUCUGAUUAAAAAAAUGCUCAACAUGUCUGCUUCAUUCUGUUCUGCCUCUUUACAGGGACUGUUGCAAACAGAAGUCCAGCACAGUGUGGUAGAGGUAGAUGAAAGUCAAUUCAAGACAUCAACAUCUGGGGUUACAAAGGAAGAGGUUGAGGCAACCAAUGCCAGCCAUGAACAAGGAACGAGCACCACUACCUCGAUCAGCAGGCAUGCACUUUGCCUUCUAACUUUGCGUUGCAUGCUUACUGUUUAUAAUUUCCUUCAUAUGUCGCAAAAGGCGACAGUAUAUUAGGAGAACUUCAAAAGUGCAGCAGAAGAAAGAUGACAACCUAUUCUGGCUUGUCCUUAGGGCAUUUGUUGUUGCUAUAUCAAAAAUCUGGGCAAAGUGAACAAUGCAGAGAAGGCAGAUGUGGAACUAAAGAUCAAGAUGCAUCCUUCCUAUUGGAAAACAAGAGCUGCUCCAUGGAUUUCCAUUUCUACCAUGCGAAUAUAUAUAUAUAUAUAUAUAUAUAUAUAUAUAUAUAUAUAUACAUAUACUUAUUUUCGAUGCAGUUAGGCUAUUUAGUAGAGACAUAUAUUUGGUCUAGUUUGUAGUCGCUUCCCACUGUAGGUGUAAUGUUUUGUGGUCUUGGUCAGCUUUGUGAAACAUAUACUACAACUAAAAUGGAUGGCAUGCGCUUCUUUCUUGGGUAAAAGGUGCAAGACCUCAGUUAUAUUAUCUGAAAUAUGCAGAGCUAUUCUCGCCAACUGAACUGAAGUUGGCUUGUUUCUAUUCUGGUGAAAUUUAGCUCGGAUUUACCUCUGAUCAA